UACGUAGGGUGCAAGCGUUAAGUCGGAAUUGACUGGGACGUAAAGCGUGCGCAGGCGGUUUUGUAAGUCAGAUGUGAAAUCCCCGGGCUUAACCUGGGAACUGCGUUUGAAACUACAAGGCUAGAGUGUGACAGAGGGGGGUGGAAUUCCACGUGUAGCAGUGAAAUGCGUAGAGAUGUGGAGGAACACCGAUGGCGAAGGCAGCCCCCUGGGUUAACACUGACGCUCAGGCACGAAAGCGUGGGGAGCAAACAGG
rnacentral:rRNA from 1 species